rnacentral:lncRNA from 1 species
ACACUUCACCAAUUGCUUCAUGGACAUUUGGCUUCACUCAGGUGAGGAUUUUAUUUACUUGAUAGGGUGUUCAUCACUGGGGUUGGAGGUUUUACGUAUUGGCACUUUGUUGCCACAUGGCCUAGUCUUGCGUAUUGUUUGGAUAGGGAGUUGUCUCCUUCAUAUUGAAUGGGUUGCUUGUGGUGGCCAAUAUGGAUGAAGGGGAUAACUGGUACUUCAGGUGGAAACUCAAUACAUUAUCUGGCAUAACGACCUCUUAGUGUAGAGGAUGUGCAUGCAUCAAUUUUAAUAAUUUACCAACAAUAAUUCUAAUUUUUUCUAAAAUAAUACCAUCAUAGAACUUAAUUGGUAGUUGAUUCAGACGGACCCAUACGACUGUCAGAGAACUUUUUACUUCAAUUGCCACAAAAUUUAGUUUCCAUGUUUGGAUUGAAAGAAAAUGGACAAAAAUAAAUCAUGGGCUAUUAUGUAGAACCUUGACCAUAUGUUUUUCGCAGUUGAAUUUGGUUAUGUGGUAGUCUGCUCCCAGGUUGAUUAAAGAAUAACUGUCAGCGAUUUUUCAAAUUUCUUGAUUUUUUCUUUUGAAAAUAUGGUGUUGUAUUUUUUUUAUCGUGGAAUUUGAUAAUAAUUAAAUACUUCCAUGGUUGGUACAUACGUUCUUGAUCUUCCUCCGUCAAGUGAAUUCAUUGAUCUCCAAUCGAGUUUAAGUCUAUGGAUGGUGGGUUUUAUUCUUGAGACUUUGUAGCAAAAUCAUCAUUUAAAGGGGUGUUAACAUUUAUUAGGGAGUGUUGUAUCCCUUCAAUUAAUUUGUAUUUAAAACUCAAAACUUGUUUAUUGAGUUCUUUGUUCGGGGUUUUAGUUUCUAUAUCCGGUGGUUUAGGUGGAAUAUGAACAAUUCGAUCGACUAUUUCCAUAUCAAUUGAAUUUUGCUAUUGUAGGGAUAAUGAAGAUUUUGUUUGUUUAGUGAGAAGCGAGAGGAAUUAUUUUAGAGAGAGAAGUAUAUAUUUCUACAGUUAUCCAACACCUUUACUUCUGAAUGGAUAAUUAAUUCGGGGGCAUCACACCAUAUUUACAAAAAAAGGUACUUUUCACGUAUUUAUCUCAAUUUAUUUUGUACAUGUUCAUGUUAUUCACGUUAUAUAAAAUUUGUAAGAGUUAAUUUUGUCAUGUUGUAACGUGGUAUUAGAAAUUUUUAUCAUGUUGUAACUUGUUAUAAAUUUAAGGCAUGAGAUAAUUUGUCGUUAUAGACUUAUGUUACAUUUGUAACUUAUUUGUCACGUACUUCCUGAAUGCAGGUUUUUGAUGACUGGGAACCCAGCAAUCAACCAUCGUUUCAGAAAACAAAAUUGAGUGGCGGGUCUACUACCUAAAGAAGGAGCAAAGAAAAGAUUGUUCAACAACACUAGGAUUUUGGAAGUUCCCCGGUUGUGAUGACUUUAUUUUCAAGAAAAUUUUAUAUUUCUGAGGCCUUAGAAGCCUUUUUUUCUCACCUUGAUUUGUAUGCAUG